UACAGAGGGGGCAAGCGUUGUUCGGAAUUACUGGGCGUAAAGGGCGCGUAGGCGGCCUUCUAAGUCGAACGUGAAAUCCCCGGGCUCAACCCGGGAACUGCGUCCGAUACUGGGAGGCUAGAGUAUGGGAGAGGGAUGUAGAAUUCCAGGUGUAGCGGUGAAAUGCGUAGAUAUCUGGAGGAAUACCGGUGGCGAAGGCGGCAUCCUGGACCAUUACUGACGCUGAGGCGCGAAAGCGUGGGGAGCAAACAGG
rnacentral:rRNA from 1 species